GUAGGGAAUUUUCGUCAAUGGGGGGAACCCUGAACGAGCAAUGCCGCGUGAGUGAGGAAGGUCUUCGGAUCGUAAAGCUCUGUUGUAAGAGAAAAACGACAUUCAUAGGGAAUGAUGAGUGAGUGAUGGUAUCUUACCAGAAAGUCACGGCUAACUACGUGCCAGCAGCCGCGGUAAUACGUAGGUGGCGAGCGUUAUCCGGAAUGAUUGGGCGUAAAGGGUGCGUAGGUGGCAGAACAAGUCUGGAGUAAAAGGUAUGGGCUCAACCCGUACUGGCUCUGGAAACUGUUCAGCUAGAGAACAGAAGAGGACGGCGGAACUCCAUGUGUAGCGGUAAAAUGCGUAGAUAUAUGGAAGAACACCGGUGGCGAAGGCGGCCGUCUGGUCUGUUGCUGACACUGAAGCACGAAAGCGUGGGGAGCAAAUAGGAUUAGAAACCCCGGUAGUCC
rnacentral:rRNA from 1 species